rnacentral:rRNA from 1 species
UACGUAGGGACCGAGCGUUGUCCGGAAUCAUUGGGCGUAAAGAGCGUGUAGGCGGCUAUUUAAGUCCUGCGUGAAAUCCUGCGGCUCAACCGCAGACGGUCGUGGGAAACUGGAUGGCUAGAGUCCGGAAGAGGAGAGUGGAAUUCCUGGUGUAGCGGUGAAAUGCGCAGAUAUCAGGAGGAACACCGAUGGCGAAGGCAGCUCGCUGGGACGGUACUGACGCUGAGGCGCGAAAGCGUGGGGAGCAAACAGG